rnacentral:rRNA from 1 species
AUGGCGACCACCGACAGCAUCAAGCUCUCCGCUGCCCAGCAGACGAGCUUUGCACUGCGCCUCGCCUCCGCCAUCUCCUCCCCCUCCAACACCGACAGCGCACGCGGCAACGUUGCCUUCUCUCCGCUGUCCCUCCACGUCGCCCUCAGCCUCAUCGCCGCCGGCGCCGGCGGCGCCACCCGCGACCAGCUCGUCGCCACGCUCGGCGCAGGCGAGGCCGAGGGACUCCACGCGUUCGCCGAGCAGGUGGUGCAACUCGUGCUUGCCGACUCCUCGGGCGCUGGCGGCCCGCGCGUCUGGUUCGCCAAUGCAGUCUUCUCCGACGCGUCGCUGCCGCUCAAGCCGUCCUUCAAGGAGGUGGCCGUGGGAAAGUACAAAGCCGAGGCCCACUCUGUCGACUUCAAGACUAAGGCUGCCGAAGUGGCUGGUCAAGUGAACUCAUGGGUUGACAAAGUCACAUCGGGUCUCAUCAAAGAGAUACUUCCUGCGGGGUCCAUUGAGACUGAUACGAGACUGGUUCUUGGGAAUGCAUUGUAUUUCAAAGGGACUUGGGCUCAGAAAUUCCAUGCAUCAGACACUAAAGAUGAUAAUUUCCACCUUCUCGACAAGACAUACUUCUUCCAAAAGCACAAGACAAUAAAAGCGCCAUUCAUGUCUAGUACAAAGAACCAAUAUAUUUCGUGUUUUGAAAACUUAAAGGUACUCAAGCUUCCUUACCAGCAAGGCGGGGACAAGAGGCAGUUCUCCAUGUACAUACUUCUUCCAAAAGCACAAGAUGGUCUUUGGAGCUUAGCAGGGAAGUUGACCUCUGAGCCAGAGUUUCUGGAGAAGCAUAUCCCUGCUCGAGCGGUUCCGGUCGGGCAAUUCAAGAUCCCUAAGUUCAAGAUAUCGUUUGAUUUUGAAGCGUCCAAAUUGUUCAAGAGUUUGGGCCUCCAACUUCCAUUCAGCACAGAAGCAGAUCUUUCGGAAAUGGUCGAUUCCCCUAUGGGACAGAGUCUAUGUGUCUCAUCUAUAUUCCACAAGUCUUUCGUAGAAGUGAAUGAAGAAGGAACUGAGGCUGCCGCGGCAACUAUUGCGGUAGUCAUGUGUAGAUCGCUUCCAGCAGUUCCUCCCAUGAAGGUGGAUUUUGUCGCGGAUCACCCUUUCCUCUUCGUGAUACGAGAAGACGUGACCGGUGUGGUGCUAUUCGUCGGUCAUGUGGUCAAUCCUCUGCUUGCAGGGUAG